UUAAAUCCUUUGAUAAGGGAUAGUAAUCAAAUUUAGGUUCAAGAUAGAGAGUUGAGGAUGGUGGAAUCUCGACAAGAAGAAAUUUGAUGAAUGGGCCUUUGAGGAGUAAAUCGAAAUCUUUGGAAAGUAGACUUUACCGUGUUUUGCACGUUAUAGCAAAUGAGGUAUGAUAGUACCAAUAUUAAGAGGUGUAUUUAUGAUACACAAAUUAGGUGGCAACGCGGAGUAUAGCUUCGUCCUAUUU
rnacentral:ncRNA from 1 species